GUGGAUUUUGUGUGUUCGAUAUUUUUGUUUGAGAUUUUUUAGAAAAUUGAGAAUCUAUCGCCUAAUAAAUUCCUUCUAGCCUUAUUGUUAGCUUUUGGGCUCAACAUUUUAAAUAGCGGUUAUUUGGGU
rfam:Helicobacter mustelae 12198 complete genome